GCGAGGCGAGGCCUGCGGGGCGGGUGCCCGCGCGGGCGGGCACGUGGGGCCCCUUCGUUUUUUGCGUCCAGGCGACCGGCGCCAGCCCCCACCCCCGACCUGGCCCCGUGGCAGCGGCCGGUGGGGAGAAAGACCAAAACCCACCCCGCGCCGCCGCCAAAGUCACGGCUCUGUUCAUGGUUUCUGGGAAGUGCUAGAAACAUGGCCAGAAAAAGAAUGGCGUCCAUUUACAUAGUGCUUUGUCUGCAUUUUGCAACUCUCUUUCGUUACACCCGCAGAAACCCCACCUCUUGCGCUGGUGUCGUUUUAGUCGCUGCCGCCUUGUCAGACGUUUAAGACAGUGGCGUGUAUUUUGGGGGGCCGCAUUUAUCCCUGUUCUGGGGAGUUCCUGCGGUUUUCCCCGCGCGGGUUUACGCUCCCGCUUCUGCCUUUCGGCCCUUUCCCCGCUUGGUGCAGCCACCGCGCCCGCGCUGUCCGUGGGCGGCCCCCAACGGGGUCCGCCAUCUUGGAGGGCCUUUCUUGUCGGGUGCGGAGCCACGCGUUCCUCCCGUUAAAGAAAGGUCGAUAGGGCCGUUGGUGCGCAAGUUGUGAUUUCCGCCCCUUCCGUUUUUCCUGGGCUGCACCAGACAGAAAGGGCCGAAUGCGCGGCGUGCUUCAAGAUCUCUUCGGGAAAGAGGCUAACGUGGCGGUUCCUCCGCCCCCCCUCCUUUCCCCGCGGGAUGGCCGCCAUGUUUCCUGAACACAAAAUGGCGACACGUGUCCUGGAUUCGUCGCUAACGAGAAAUUGGGGUCGGCCCGAAAGCUCUAGAACGCGGUCCCCCCCCGUCCCCGGCCUCAACUCUCGCCCGUGGGCGGGGGCCUUCCCCACGCAGCGAGUGCUUUGACCAGACUGGGAUGAAACCCCAGGCUGGUCCCAACCUCAGCUGGCGAAUUUUAAUACGUUUCUCUCAUUAAUUUGAAACGGGAGUGCGAAUAAGCGUAAAACGUAGGCAUCAUGCUGAGCCUUUCGGUCAUUUCGUUUAAUAAUAGAUGGGGGGGCACUACCAAUGCAUAAUUUGGGCCCCCCAGUAUCAAAAGAGUUAGGAAUCACUACUUUAAGAAAUGAGAUAGGAAAUUAUUGCUUUCCUAGAUUUCUAGCAUAGGCUAUUGUGCUGGUGAGAUAAAGAAAUGGUAUUAAAAGGCUUUCUUUUUUUUUUGAAGGCAAUUUCCAUGAAGCGACUAGGAUAACUAUGAUCUUUUUCAUGGGCCAGCUGGCCAGUGAGCCUCACUUUGCCAUAGAUGUUGACUUGUUGGCUAGAAGGGACAGACAGUUGUGCAUUUACCAGUGGCAGAUCCCGUGCUAGCCAUAUUACUGCAUACUGUUUUUAAUUUUUACAGUGAUCCUCUGAGGUAUGUGUUAUCUCUAUCUCUCUCUCUUUAACAGAUGAAAUCACUUAGGCCAAGAGAGAUGAAGUGACUGAUGCAAGGUCACACAGUGUCGAGGAUGGUAUCCAGACCUUCUGAUACAGUUACUGACCUGUGCUAACUUAUGGAUAUGUGAGUGAAUUCUACACCACCCAUUUUACAGAUGAAGCCACUGAGAUACAGAGCAACUGAUUAAAUAUCGCCACUCCAGCACUGGAGCCUCACAUGACUCUUCUCCCAGGUGAUCUCAAUCUCUCUGACAGCUUCAGUUACCAUCUACACAUGGAUGCUGCUCAAAGCUCUUUCCAGAUCAGAAUAGCCACCUGUUCACAUGGACGGAUCCACGGGGAUGUUUUGAAGACUCAGCAACAUGUAGCCUCCUGCUCUUCCCCUCUUGCUCCUCCUCCAGUGUCCUGUCACAUGAUGACAAGCCACAGGCUCUGAGAGAUGGAUUAACUUGGAAAUGGCAGAAACGAGAUUCAGACCCCGAUGUGUCUGUGGAGCCCUCACUCAUUCUAUCUCACUGUGCUUUCUCUAGAAGAAACCAAAUAGCAGACCCAAAGACACAGGAUAAAUUUCAAGAAAUGGAAUGACUGAGGAACACUGGCUUGUAUGGUUGUCGUCUUCCUCCUCUGACAGAUGAAACAUGAUCUUGCCACUGUAACGUGGUAGUUGAGAAUGUGACUCUGGAGCUAGCCUGAGAGGCCUGAAUUCUGACUCAGCCACUUACUGUGUGACCUUGGGUUCAAUCAACUGUUUUUAUACACAUAUCCCCGUGAAUGCCUGAUAUUCUUAUAAGAAGAGGGAGACACUCACAGAGGGAAGAUGACCAUGGAGAGAUGGAAGCCAAGAUGGGAGAUAUGCUGCCACAUCCAAAGAAUAGCAAGAAUUACUGGCAACCACCAGAAGCUGGAAGAAGCAGGGAAGGAUUCUUUCCUAGAGCCUUCAGAGGGAGCAGGGCCCUGCUGACACCUGUAUUUUGGACGGCUAGCCUCCAGAACUGUCUUCAUCGUAGUGUAACUCACACUGUCACAACACCACUGGUAAUUGUGUACUGUUUAAGAGGCCCUGUCCUGUCAUCCAGAGAAAAUCUGUUGAUGUGUUCUAAGGAGUAAGCCAUGAUGGUGGCAGAGGGAGACCAGAUGGCGGUGGGUGUUGGCCCAGAUCCAGGGGAGCCUGGCCUCUGGGCUGGCAGAAGAGACAGCUUAAGGGUGUCAGGUGAUGGAAUAAGAAGAGACAGGGCUGGUCUGUUAAGUGGUAUAAUUUCAAGGGGCACCAAGAAUACAUCCUGCCCCUCAAAGACUUGCCUCAACUAUUUGUUGUUGCUUGGAAUUCCACAAGUGAAAUUUCUUUCCUUUGAUUUACGUCUUUUGAGACCCUAUUAAAAAUGAAGAGACUCCAGGAAAGGGUUUGAUUAUGGAGCAUCUUGAUCAUAAAAUUGUUAAAAUCUGACAGAGUAUGCUGUUUUGGUGGAGCACAGUUUCGGGAAUUACAAGGAUUUAUCUCAAAGGAAUGGACAUCAAAUGGAGGAAUUCCAGGUAAAGGUUUCAAGGUUUUCCACAUCCGCUGACAGAAGAGCUUAAUCCUCCAUCAGUACCCUCCGACAGCACAUUCAGUUGGGGCAGUGUCUUAUCUUUCAACAUCCGUUCACCCUCAUGCUACACACUUACCCUGCCACCAGUGGCUUCUUAGACUCUGGCUUUCUUCAGGCCCUUGAUAUCAGCCAGUCCCCUUUGAAAAAUGCUGGUUGUAAGCCACUGACCUGAUUUCACAACCCAGUGAUGGGUCACAGCCCACAGGGUGAAAAAUGAAGAGUGAGAUCAUUACUGCCCAGAACAACUCCAAACAUAGCCAAGGAGCCCUGUCCAGAUGUUGCCCUUUGAGUGGCUCGAAGAGCUGGCAGAUGGUGGAACCGGCACCUGUGUGCUCCUGGUGGUGGUCCACUUGGUGCUGCUCUGCUCUUUCCGUGGAGUCUCCUUUCAGGGCCGCAGUUGGUUGUGCCAUAAAGCGGCCACGGGCUCAGAUGCUUUCUCAGUGCUGUGGAAGGAGGUUGAAGUCUAUAAAGCACUCCAUACACCUGACAGAAAGAUGCCAGCUCAGUGUCAAGUGUCACAGGUGUAUGUCUCAUCCCAUUGGAUGAGGCUACUUGUGGAGGCAAAGCUUCCAGGCCCUAUGGGGCUCACAUGUGCUGCUCACCUGGCAGGACUACAGAUGACAGAAUAAGAGCAAAACAAGAAGCUCUUGCAUACAGCGUAACAACAUCUUACUAACCAGAGGGUGGAUGAUAAAUAUACGUAAGGAACAUUCCAGGCAGCAGUGAGUCUUGGAGCCCCAUCUCCCUUUGUAACUGGAAGUUUUUGAAAACAGAAUCCGCAGAAAUAGCUACCUCAACACCCAUGCAUUUAAGCUGGGUGAGCCUCAAAGUCUGUUGACAUUUACUUAGCACACUUUUCUAAGAAAAGUGGCUAUCUGAUUUCUCAACCCACUGUAGAAGAAAAUAAAUUGCCUGGAAGGAUGGUGGUGGUAGGUCUUUUCCAGAGAGAGACAUGUGGAUAAUAGGAAAGUAAAAGCCAUGGGGGAGGGCAGAGAAACAAUAAGAAGGAAACUCAGCCACGUUAUUAGCUAGUUCCUUAGGGAAUGUUCCUAAUGAUGACCACUUCAGUGAGAAAAGGACAUUUUUUAUAGCAUUAGAGAACUGUGGGCCAUAUUUUAGCAAGAUUUCACUUUACAGUGGUUGGCCGUUGAAGUUUUACUUUUCAGAAAAAGUAUUCAUGGGAACCUCAGUGAUUCUGGAUAAGUUAAGUGCUACUGAACUGUCCCUGAUUAGGGAUAGUCAUGGGUUUGAGGCAUGCUGUAACCUCGGGUUCACAGGCGGGUCCUCCCCACCCAACCCUAGACUGCCUCAUGGCCUGAAACCCCUCCAUUACUGUUACUGUUGGAUUCUUUUGUUCACCAAUGUGAAUUUGUGAAUAAAUACUUUCCAAUCUGAAAGCUGCUUGAUAGUGGCUCCGUUAUAUUCUGGGCACUCCCUGAGGAUGGGAUGGGGUUGGGCCUGGAUGGGGUGGCUUAAAUGACCAGAGGGCAGGACAAAAUCACUGGGAUUUGGGCUGUGGUGAGUUAUUAGCACUGGGGGGCAGGCUUGGAAGCUGAGUUCCACUUUUCACUGCUUUGCUUGAGGACAGCCCACUCACUGAGAUGGAGCCAGCUCUCGGUUUCUUCCAUAGUCUGUCUCCUUGAGGCUCACCGGCCACCUGCCCCAGACCUGCUUCUCUGAAUCACCCUGAAUGACUGCAGGGGUGCUCCAGUAAGUAAGGGGACCUCAAAGAAAAGGCAGGUAUUUCUGAGACAAAGAUCAUUUAUUCCACACCAUCUGAGAAAGCAGCCUUGAAGUAGAAGGCAUUGGGGUUAGUGGUGUUUCACACCACCAGAAGGUUUCUGUCUUAACAAUAGA